rnacentral:rRNA from 1 species
UACGGGGGGGGCUAGCGUUGUUCGAAAUUACUGGGCGUAAAGGGCGCGUAGGCGGUCUGCUAAGUUGGAUGUGAAAACUCUGGGCUUAACCCAGAGCCUGCAUUCAAUACUGACAGGCUAGAGUUCUGGAGGGGAUAGCGGAAUUCCAGGUGUAGCGGUGAAAUGCGUAGAUAUCAGGAGGAACACCGGUGGCGAAGGCGGGUCUCUGGGCCGAUACUGACGCUGAGGAGCGAAAGCGUGGGGAGCGAACAGG